UCCCACAAAUUUUUCCCCAAACCCAUUCAAAAUCGCCUCUCCCUCUCUCAAAAUCAUUUCUGCGAAACGCUUUCCUCCCAAAAUUUUCCCCCAUUUUCUUCCCAAAUCCAUUUUAUCCCUCCCACCAUCCCAUGGGUUUUCCCCCACCGGCACUGGUGUGGCUUCCUCUUUCUCUUUAGUGUUUGUAGUGAAAUGGAGGGCCAAGAAGACCUAGAUCCGACGAACCCAAGCGCCAAAGACCCACCUUUGUGUGAGGAGUGCAAAAGAACCCAUCAAAGUACAGGAGUCCAGUUGCCCCCUGCGCUCUUGUAGCCUUCCUUGCGUCAAAGCUCAAAUGCAACGCGCUGGGUGUACGGGAAAGAGAAGCCAGACACUGCUCGUCCCGCUCUCUCAGUUCGACGAUAAUCUGCUCGUCUCUGAUUAUAAUUUACUUGAGGAAGUGAAGAUGGUUGCAGAAUCUGCUUAGAGAGUAAGAACUAAAUUGUGUGGGAAUGCUCAUUUUAAGUUAUCGUGUCGCCUUAACAACCACAAAUUACAAUAAUGUUUUUUUAGAUAGUUUCUGACUUUAGUGAUGGGUUAUUAUUCUUGUUUGUUAUGCAAAUCCUUGAUAUUGCAAAAUUCAGAUUUAGGAGGGCAUGCUUCUGUACGUAAAGAAAGAGACUGACAUUGUUCUAAAUUCAUAAUGGUAGUAUUAUUAUCAUUUUAUUGUAUCAUACACAAGGUGCUAAUCCUCAUGAUUUUUCUUGAUGCUGUUAGUGUGUGAGGGAAUACCACACAAAUACAAUUUAGGAUUCUGAUGUGGAUUGUAUGCCAUAUAAAGCUUUAUAAAUUUCAUUUUCAAUUC